rnacentral:rRNA from 1 species
GACGAACGCUGGCGGCGCGCUUAACACAUGCAAGUCGAGCGAAGCGGCGGACGGGUGAGUAACACGUGAGUAACCUGCCUUAGACAUUGGGAUAGCCUCGGGAAACCGGGAUUAAUACCAAAUGGUCUAAGAUGGACUCGCGUCCCAUUAGCUAGUUGGUGGGUAAAGGCCCACCAAGGCGACGAAGGGUAGCAGGCCUGAGAGGGAGAGCGGCCACAUUGGAACUGAGAAACGGUCCAAAAUCGACGGGAGGCAGCAGUGGGGAAUAGUGCACAAUGGAGGGAGCGCUGAUGCAGCGAAGCCGCGUGAACGAAGAAGGCUUUCGAGACGUAAAGUUCUUUUAUAUGUUAAGCGGUACCAUAAGAAAAAGCCCCGGCUAACUACGUGCCAGCAGCCGCGGUAAUUC